rnacentral:tRNA from 1 species
GGGCGCGGCGGAAAACGGCUGAGCCCCGGCCGGUCUCGAAGACCGGCCGGGGCUCAGUUCAAGCCUGGGUGCGCGCCC